AACCAUAGAAACCUGCGGAGUACCUGCGGAGGGAUCAUUAACAAUUGUCCAGUCUGCUUUGACUAUGGACAUUUAUCCAUAUCCACCUUGUGUGAACUAGAGAAACAUGAGUUGGCAGGUUUUUUCUUCCUGUAAGAGAAUAAGGGUGUGUAAAAACACCUUUACGAGAAUUGAUCUCGGCCUGCCAAUUUUUAUUGUCUCGACUCGUCUGUAACAUUUUAUGACUGAAAAUUAUUAAUU
rnacentral:misc_RNA from 1 species